GUUGAACGCUGGCGGCGCGCCUAACACAUGCAAGUCGAACGAUUAAAGCACCUUCGGGUGUGUAUAAAGUGGCGAACGGCUGAGUAACACGUGGGCAACCUGCCCCUUUCAUUGGGAUAGCCACGGGAAACCGUGGAUAAUACCGAAUACUUCGAGACUUCCGCAUGGAAGACUCGAGAAAGCUCCGGCGGAGAGGGAUGGGCCCGCGGCCUGUUAGCUUGUUGGUGGGGUAACGGCCUACCAAGGCAAUGAUGGGUAGCUGGGUUGAGAGACCGACCAGCCAGAUUGGGACUGAGACACGGCCCAGACUCCUACGGGAGGCAGCAGUGGGGAAUCUUGCACAAUGGGCGAAAGCCUGAUGCAGCGACGCCGCGUGCGGGAUGAAGGCCUUCGGGUUGUAAACCGCUUUCAGCAGGGACGAGGCGAAAGUGACGGUACCUGCAGAAGAAGCCCCGGCUAACUCCGUG
rnacentral:rRNA from 1 species